rnacentral:rRNA from 1 species
CCUACGGGGCGCAGCAGUGGGGGAUAUUGCACAAUGGGGGAAACCCUGAUGCAGCGACGCCGCGUGGGCGAAGAAGUAUUUCGGUAUGUAAAGCCCUAUCAGCAGGGAAGAAGAAAUGACGGUACCUGACUAAGAAGCCCCGGCUAACUACGUGCCAGCAGCCGCGGUAAUACGUAGGGGGCAAGCGUUAUCCGGAUUUACUGGGUGUAAAGGGAGCGUAGACGGCAUGGCAAGUCAGAUGUGAAAGCCCGGGGCUCAACCCCGGGACUGCAUUUGAAACUGUUUCCCUUGAGUGUCGGAGAGGG